rnacentral:misc_RNA from 1 species
CCGCAAGGCUCACCUUCAUUCAUGAGCUGAUCGCUUGUGGGCCCCACCCACACCUCACACGCCGAAGUACCCCUGGCUGCGAGUACUCGCAUACACACACAUAUAUGUAGGGCACACUGCCCACACCUCUCGCACCCCAUCAAGAGCGAAUGGGGCAUUACACACCCGACGAGUGGUCGCUGUAGCGGCGCUGCUUCGCUUCAAACCCCCCCGACGCCACGCGUCGCGCUCGGUGUGCGCGUGCCGGGCUCGGGUCUGGAUGGGCGGUCGCACGCUCACAGUCUUCGGGCCCGAUGGCGAGGGAGUCUCCCUCGACGAGCGCACCCGCGUCUCCGUGCAGAUCGCACCCUGGGACACCCUGGGGGACUUGGCGCCUGAGCCAAAGAUGACGGCUGCAGGAAGCGCAGGGCUUGUCGGCGCCGGGCACAUGUAACGAUGACAGAGCCAGGCUGCGUAGAAGGCGCAGCCCCCACCCCUCAGGCUACGGCAGGAUACGUGCGCUCAGCAGACAAAUUGGUAAAUCGCCGUUUCUCUCGCCGGCAGGGCGGAGGGGUGGCACUUGCAAAGGGGCGCGUUGGAGGCGAGGCCUCUCACUACCACAUCCUGUGUAGAGCCACGAAACCAAAAGCCACCGCAAACCGUCAUACAUGUGCGGAUGCGCCCCCGCGGGACACUCAAGUGGACGUGCGCGCACCACCGUCGUCCGCUCCCCCUCCUAAGGGUAGCCGGGUGAGGGGCACCCCAGCACUACUUCUCUCUCCUGGGGGAGGGGCGUAUAUGUCUGUUCAUGUGUGCUUGCCCCCUUCCGUCACUCUGUCGCUGCAGUCCUUUCCCCUCUCUACCUUUAUAUCCGCCGAG